UACGUAGGGGGCAAGCGUUGUCCGGAUUUAUUGGGCGUAAAGAGCGUGUAGGCGGUUUUACAGGUCCGCUGUGAAAACUCGAGGCUCAACCUCGAGACGUCGGCGGAAACCAUCCAGCUAGAGUCCGGAAGAGGAGAGUGGAAUUCCUGGUGUAGCGGUGAAAUGCGCAGAUAUCAGGAAGAACACCCGUGGCGAAAGCGGCUCUCUGGGACGGUACUGACGCUGAGACGCGAAAGCGUGGGGAGCGAACAGG
rnacentral:rRNA from 1 species